AGCGGUAUUUGUCUUUCGGGACAGAGAGAGCGGCGUACGGGUGCGUAACACGUGUGCAACCUACCUUUAUCAGGAGGAUAGCCUUUCGAAAGGAAGAUUAAUACUCCAUAAUAUAUUAGAUGGCAUCAUUUAAUAUUGAAAACUCCGGUGGAUAGAGAUGGGCACGCGCAAGAUUAGAUAGUUGGUGAGGUAACGGCUCACCAAGUCAUUGAUCUUUAGGGGUCCUGAGAGGGAGAUCCCCCACACUGGUACUGAGACACGGACCAGACUCCUACGGGAGGCAGCAGUGAGGAAUAUUGGACAAUGGGUGAGAGCCUGAUCCAGCCAUCCCGCGUGAAGGAUGACGGUCCUACGGAUUGUAAACUUCUUUUGUAUAGGGAUAAACCCAGAUACGUGUAUCUGGCUGAAGGUACUAUACGAAUAAGCACCGGCUAACUCCGUGCCAGCAGCCGCGGUAAUACGGAGGGUGCAAGCGUUAUCCGGAUUUAUUGGGUUUAAAGGGUCCGCAGGCGGGCCGAUAAGUCAGUGGUGAAAUCUCAUAGCUUAACUAUGAAACUGCCAUUGAUACUGUCGGUCUUGAGUAAAUUAGAGGUAGCUGGAAUAAGUAGUGUAGCGGUGAAAUGCAUAGAUAUUACUUAGAACACCAAUUGCGAAGGCAGGUUACCAUGAUUUAACUGACGCUGAGGGACGAAAGCGUGGGGAGCGAACAGGAUUAGAUACCCUGGUAGUCCACGCCGUAAACGAU
rnacentral:rRNA from 2 species